rnacentral:rRNA from 1 species
UACGUAGGUCCCGAGCGUUGUCCGGAUUUAUUGGGCGUAAAGCGAGCGCAGGUGGUUUAUUAAGUCUGGUGUAAAAGGCAGUGGCUCAACCAUUGUAUGCAUUGGAAACUGGUAGACUUGAGUGCAGGAGAGGAGAGUGGAAUUCCAUGUGUAGCGGUGAAAUGCGUAGAUAUAUGGAGGAACACCGGUGGCGAAGGCGACUGUCUGGUCUGUAACUGACACUGAGGCGCGAAAGCGUGGGGAGCGAACCGG